rnacentral:rRNA from 1 species
AUUGAACGCUGGCGGCAUGCCUUACACAUGCAAGUCGAACGGUAACGCGGGGCAACCUGGCGACGAGUGGCGAACGGGUGAGUAAUGUAUCGGAACGUGCCCAGUUGUGGGGGAUAACUGCUCGAAAGAGCAGCUAAUACCGCAUACGACUUGAGGGUGAAAGCGGGGGAUCGCAAGACCUCGCGCAAUUGGAGCGGCCGAUAUCAGAUUAGGUAGUUGGUGGGGUAAAGGCUCACCAAGCCGACGAUCUGUAGCUGGUCUGAGAGGACGACCAGCCACACUGGGACUGAGACACGGCCCAGACUCCUACGGGAGGCAGCAGUGGGGAAUUUUGGACAAUGGACGCAAGUCUGAUCCAGCCAUGCCGCGUGCGGGAAGAAGGCCUUCGGGUUGUAAACCGCUUUUGUCAGGGAAGAAAAGGCUCCUUCUAAUAUAGGGGGCUCAUGACGGUACCUGAAGAAUAAGCACCGGCUAACUACGUGCCAGCCGCCGCAGUAAUAC